AUUGGCUUCUCUUCAGAGCCCUGAGAGAGCAGCCCUGCAGACACUGUUCAUGGACACUGACUGUGGCAAGAGGUGGCGACAGACCCUUGAGCUUAGUGGUCUAUAGCUAGUAGGAUUGAUGAUGGGGUAAUGUGGGAUUGAUAGGGCGAGUAACAUGGUAUUAAUAGUGGAUUCUCUGUGGGGUGGCUGGGGGCAUAUCAUGGGCCUGGUGGUUGUUGCAGCUCUGCUCUUGUCUUACUGUCUGCAUGGUAGAGCUUGGCUAAAGCCAAAGGACACCCUGGGCCUAUCUCCAUUGCCCUAGAGGAGAAGGCAGGGCAGGUUCAUUAGUCACAGCUGCUUCACCUGUUCUCUGUUCUCUCUGCUCUCAGGCUGUGGACAGUGCUGGGCCCACAGAAAAAGGUCCCUGACCUUGUAGACCAGGGCUUUGCAACCUAUCUGUGGGGAAUAAUAUGUUUUAUUAAUUUCCAAUGUGGACAGAGAUUUUAACACCCCCUUCCAGUACUUGUGAUGUGGUUUGGACACCACGUCUCUUCGCCCACCACUCACCAGGAUGGGACCAGACAGCCUCAGCCCUCCAUCUGAGAUAAUACCCCAAGCAGGGAACCUCUUGGGAAAAGGCAGAGUUGCUAUGCCAAAUAAAUCACAUGUCCAUUUAGUAAUAAACCAACACAAAUAGCACAAGUGGAUUUUUGUGGCGUUUCCAAAGGUGAGCCUGUCUGUCCAGUGAAGCUGAGGAAUCUGGACUGGGAGGACCCAGACUGCAGUCCGACCUCCAGCACCUUAGGCAGCCAGUGUUUCCAGUGCUGCAGCCACAGCUGAGGGGAAAACAGUUUACCAGACUUUAAUGAUGUUCACAAAACAACCACAGCCCUGGGCAUGUUGUGUGCUCUUUGUAAAUUAACUCACAUAAUCCUCACGACAACCUUCUAAGAUGGGCACUGUUGCCUUCAUCUCACCACGUUGGAUGGCACAGUCACCAAGUUCCUGACCUCCUCUUCUCUAUUGGUUUAUUCGCAGGCCGGAAAAGAGGCAUAAACUCGGAGAACCCAAGACCCCGGCCUGGCGUGCAGCCCCAGCAGCCGGACCAGCCUUGGGCAACAGCGUGCGACGUUCAGCUGUCUGUGUCUCCAGUGCUCCCAUUCCAUCGCACCUGAAUGAGGGAUUUGGGAGGUAAAACAGGCAAAUAAUGAAAUAUACAAAUCUUCAUUGUGCAGUUUUGAUCAGUUGCUUCUCCUAUGCAACCCUCACCCCAAUAGAGACACAGCCUCUCGUCGGAACGCUCCUGCACACCCUUCUCGCAACCCCCACCACCUGCCCCCCACUCCCGACCAGAGCAGCCGCCGUCCUGGUGUCUCCCAUCAGAGGUAAGUGUGGUCUCCCGACCAGAGCAGCCGCCGUCCUGGUGUCUCCCAUCAGAGGUAAGUGUGGUCUCCCGACCAGAGCAGCCGCCGUCCUGGUGUCUCCCAUCAGAGGUAAGUGUGGUCUCCCGACCAGAGCAGCCGCCGUCCUGGUGUCUCCCAUCAGAGGUAAGUGUGGUCUCCCGACCAGAGCAGCCGCCGUCCUGGUGUCUCCCAUCAGAGGUAAGUGUGGUCUCCCGACCAGAGCAGCCGCCGUCCUGGUGUCUCCCAUCAGAGGUAAGUGUGGUCUCCCGACCAGAGCAGCCACCGUCCUGGUGUCUGCCAUCAGAGGUAAGUGUGGUCUCCCGACCAGAGCAGCCACCGUCCUGGUGUCUGCCAUCAGAGGUAAGUGUGGUCUCCCGACCAGAGCAGCCACCGUCCUGGUGUCUCCCAUCAGAGGUAAGUGUGGUCUCCCGACCAGAGCAGCCACCGUCCUGGUGUCUCCCAUCAGAGGUAAGUGUGGUCUCCCGACCAGAGCAGCCACCGUCCUGGUGUCUCCCAUCAGAGGUAAGUGUGGUCUCCCGACCAGAGCAGCCGCCGUCCUGGUGUCUCCCAUCAGAGGUAAGUGUGGUCUCCCGACCAGAGCAGCCGCCGUCCUGGUGUCUCCCAUCAGAGGUAAGUGUGGUCUCCCGACCAGAGCAGCCGCCGUCCUGGUGUCUCCCAUCAGAGGUAAGUGUGGUCUCCCGACCAGAGCAACCGCCGUCCUGGUGUCUCCCAUCAGAGGUAAGUGUGGUCUCCCGACCAGAGCAGCCACCGUCCUGGUGUCUGCCAUCAGAGGUAAGUGUGGUCUCCCGACCAGAGCAGCCACCGUCCUGGUGUCUGCCAUCAGAGGUAAGUGUGGUCUCCCGACCAGAGCAGCCACCGUCCUGGUGUCUCCCAUCAGAGGUAAGUGUGGUCUCCCGACCAGAGCAGCCACCGUCCUGGUGUCUCCCAUCAGAGGUAAGUGUGGUCUCCCGACCAGAGCAGCCACCGUCCUGGUGUCUCCCAUCAGAGGUAAGUGUGGUCUCCCGACCAGAGCAGCCACCGUCCUGGUGUCUCCCAUCAGAGGUAAGUGUGGUCUCCCGACCAGAGCAGCCACCGUCCUGGUGUCUCCCAUCAGAGGUAAGUGUGGUCUCCCGACCAGAGCAGCCACCGUCCUGGUGUCUGCCAUCAGAGGUAAGUGUGGUCUCCCGACCAGAGCAGCCACCGUCCUGGUGUCUGCCAUCAGAGGUAAGUGUGGUCUCCCGACCAGAGCAACCACCGUCCUGGUGUCUCCCAUCAGAGGUAAGUGUGGUCUCCCGACCAGAGCAGCCACCGUCCUGGUGUCUCCCAUCAGAGGUAAGUGUGGUCUCCCGACCAGAGCAACCACCGUCCUGGUGUCUCCCAUCAGAGGUAAGUGUGGUCUCCCGACCAGAGCAACCACCGUCCUGGUGUCUCCCAUCAGAGGUAAGUGUGGUCUCCUGACCAGAGCAACCACCGUCCUGGUGUCUCCCAUCAGAGGUAAGUGUGGUCUCCUGACCAGAGCAACCACCGUCCUGGUGUCUCCCAUCAGAGGUAAGUGUGGUCUCCCGACCAGAGCAGCCACCGUCCUGGUGUCUGCCAUCAGAGGUAAGUGUGGUCUCCCGACCAGAGCAACCACCGUCCUGGUGUCUCCCAUCAGAGGUAAGUGGGGUCUCCUGACCAGAGCAACCACCGUCCUGGUGUCUCCCAUCAGAGGUAAGUGGGGUCUGUUUUUGAAAGUCACUGACACGAAACCGUGCAGAAUGUACUUUUUGUGUCUGAGAUUCACUCACCUCCUUGUGCAGAACCUUGAAGUCCUCGUGAAGAAAUGUGGCCCCAUUAGUGUCCUGCACCUUUUCUCCCCUCACUGAUUGUUAGAAGCCAGGUGCUGUGCUAUGCCUGCUAGGGCCAGUAUUUGACAAAUUCCCUGCUUCGCUAAAGAGGAGGGUUCGUGUCUGGAAGUCACGGGCCCGGUGACAGGCCCACUGUCUGUCCUGGAGGGCCAGACCCAUCGUGCCAGUGAGUGCGGGCCUUGCCCACCGUUGUGUGUGCGGCCCUAGACACACUUGCAGAACUGGCCCCAAUAGGGAGUUUAGAGAGAGGAUUGCACAGGCGAGUGGAUGAAUGAGUGACAUUUCAGAAGCUGAGGUUUGUAGCUGCUGCCUGCAAUCUGUUCUGAAGUCCAGCAGCAGCAAAGGGGUGGGGAGGGGUCAGGCUCACCUGAGACAGGAAGGUGGGUUCCCCCAGGCAGAGGCUUGGCAGAGGGAAUCAUUGUUGGGACAUCUCUAAAAAUAAGUGACAGAAAGUUCCGAGUUCUCUCACGCAGUCUAGAAACACAGAUUCUUACUGCACAGAUUUUUCUUUAAAGUGAAGCAGGAAUUUCAAUGCUCUGAACUGACACCAGCAAACCAAGGCAGUUCUGGCUCAUCCAAGGGUUGGGGUUCUUAUUUCAAACUCGAGAGGCCUGGACUAAGAUGCAUCAUCACUAACCAGGCUCCAACAAGGCAGAAAUGCCGCUUUAUCAAAACCACCGCAGGCUGGAGAGAAAUAAGAGCUGCCUUGCCAAGGCUGGGACCGCCAGCAGAGGCAUACUCAGCUUCCAGGUGGGGCCUGCCAGCUGGGGGCUGGCCCUGAAGAUCACAGACUCCCAGACCGAGGGGGCGGGAAGGUCGUCUCAUCCAGUGGGGACCCCUGUCCAGCCUUUUCUCCUGCUCUGUAGAACCUGUGGGGUCAUUUCAGGAAACAAAAUAUACGAAGCUAUCCAGCCUCAAAGCCAUAAGUAACUAAGUAACUGAAAAAUUAGACCCAAGCUUCCAGAAAAACGGUGCAGAACAUCCUCCCACUCCCUUGGGUUGGGAGCUCCUAAAGGCGUUUCUUAUUCCUCUCUGUUCUUCUGUCACGACCAGGGCUGAGCGUGCGUUCGAGCUUCUCCUGCAUCAUGACCAGGAUGCUCUGGGACACCUUGUCCACGUCUGUGUCCACCAGUCCUGCUCAGAAUCUCCCCAGGGGCUUUUCCACGAUGCCCAUCCAGGCGUCACCCUCACUCUAGGCCAGGAGGAGAAGGCAUGCCCUGAGGAUUCAGCCUCUUCUUCUUCAUCCCUCCCAGCACCCAGUGUGUUGGGUGCACACACAGGUGUCGGGCCCCAGGCUGGAGGCCACGUGCCAGGCUGGCAGGAUUUGUCCACUGUGAAGCUCGACGCCCCCGCAGGCCCUGUGCUGCCCGCCCGGAUCCCCCUGCCUCAGGAUGCCCUCCACACCCUCCGAAUUCCCAGCCGCUGCUCUGGGGCCUGCACAGAGGGCUUGGGCCCAGCACCUGGAAACUCCAAAGAGGCAAACGGGUUCAUGUCCAGGUUUUGUCAGAUCGCUUCCGAGGCUGCCCUCUUCGCCGUGGCUGCUGAGUGCAGAGCUGGGCAUCUGAGUGGACAGAGUGGUGCUCCGCUUCCUUGCAUCUCCUGGGCCAUGCGUGGUGACCUGUGCCCACUGCAUCGCUCCUGUGUGCCCUGUGCAUGUGACCGUGUCUUUCCCGUGUAUUCAGUGCUGCUUCAUGUCUUCCAGUUCCGCUUUGUGGUUUGUGAGUGACCAGUGCAUCCCGUUCCUGCUGCAGCAGCUGCAAUGUGCACUGUCCUGCAGGAAGCCCUCGGGGUAGGGCCUGGGGGCUGUGGGAAGCUCAGCAACAAGAUUCCCAACACCAGAGCUUCUAAGAGACCUGGAACCUCUUGAGUGAUGAGCGUGUCUUUUGUGUGCUGACGAGAGGACAGAGCUGGUGACCCUUGGGCAGCUUCAGGAAGGGACUGCUCCCCAGAAAGACCAAGGCAGGACUUAUAGGUGAGGACUUUCAGAUCCACCCCAACCUCCAGGAAGCGGGAGGGGAGAGAGGACAGGAGCUGAAGAUGGAACUGAUUACCGAUGGCCAAGAAUUUAAUCCAUUAUUCUGUUAAUGAAAAACCAAACUCUGUAAAACAUUUUAAAGAGGUUUAUUGGGACCCCUAAUACGGUGACCACAGCUUGGAGAAAAAACAAACCCAAGAAGCCUAGAGUGAGUGUUCCUGAGGUGCCUGGAUUACAGUCUGGCUUCAUGCACUUUAGGGGACAGGCGUUACAGGUGGACGAGAUAUAUAUUGGCUCAGCUCGAACACGCGGGAUAUCUGGAAGCAAGCCUUAUCGGUUAUAGGUGGAUUCAGAGAGUCUUCAGUUUGCGGCUGGUUAAAGGAGCAAAGCUUUAUCUAAAACCUAGAGUCAGCGAUGAGGACAUCUGCACCCGAAACAUGGGGCAGGGGUGACUAACAGGGUGCAUGACUUGACUUAACCCUCGUCUGACAUGGUCUUGGGUCCUGUUUGUAACUGGGGCUCUUAUUGCCACGGUCAGUUCUGUCAGCCUUCUGAUCUCUGUUUUGACAUUAAUGCCUAAAUUCCAAAGGGAGUGGGAACAGCCAGGCGUCCAAUCUCCCUUCCUGUUGCGGCCGGGAACUGUUUUCCAGGUUUCUCUGGGGUCCCCUUGGCCAAGAGCGGGUCCAUGUAGUCACUGGGGGCCUUAGGACGUUAUUUUUGGUGCCUGUGUUGGGGCUUAGAAGAUCAUACUCCAAAAUGAGGGCCCCAGCAGCAGCCUCUGAAGCAAGUUUCUGUCUGAGCUUCUCCCAUCCUCUGUGUCUCAGUACCACUCUCACUCAAGGUGCCAUAGAAAUGGGAAUCCUUCUUCCCCACAGUGGGUCCUAGAAACCAGAACCCCUUUCCCCAAAGCCAGCCAUACAACCAAAAACUAGGGCUCUAAUUUUCCCUGUGCCUCUGUGUGUACAAACUGGCCAUAAAGAAAUGGUCUGACCUACCUGGCUUGGCUGUAGCUCCUAAGACCCCCAUUCCAGAGAGGGUCCCACCCACACCCAGAAGGAGAGGGCGCUGCUCAGAGAGGCCAAGGAGAAUCCAGACACACAGACCAGGCUGGCUUUCCCCACUCAGUCCAUUAGCAUCAGAUCCAGCUAAGCCUCCAAUCCUAUUUCUACAUGGCUGCCCAUACUUCAUUGAACCUAAGCAUAAAAAUGAGCUGUUUAUCUGAAGGGUCCCUUGUAUACACAUUAAUUUGUGUGCCUUUUCUCCAGUUAAUCUGCUUUUUGUGAGUUGACUUUUCAGAGAACCCUUGUAAGGCUGAGGGAAAAGCUCUCCCUUGGCCCCACACCUACAUAAUGGAACCUCCAUGAGGUACACAUAAUUUAGGAUGUCUAUCCUAAAUGAUGGGGUUCCAAAAACUCCCAGGGUGGUGAAUUCAUCCAGAUGCCGGGAGGGAGGACGGUGCACUGCAACCCAGGUUGUUAGUCUCAGAAUUGAAUGGAAUUCCAGGACAUCCAGUUGGCAUCCAAGGAGCUGGAAAACUGGGUGGUGUGGGAAAUAAAAACCUGAUAGGUUUGGGAUCAUGAGAGAAAGAGAUACCCUUUAGCCACCUUCUCUGUUUCCUCAUGAGAAAAGAAAGUCAUGUUUAUCUGAGGACUGUGAGUCCUUUUAAAUUAUCAGGCCCAAGGUGUUAAGAUGAGGCAGCCGUCAUGUCCUACUCCCCCCUGCCUACUCAAGCUGUGUAUUCAUCUCUGGAAACUGCUUGCUGUUGCCACAAGAGGCUAUAAAUUAAUCGAACAAUGCUACACUGGACACUGUAACCACACCCUAUAGCUUAACAAUAUAUAGCCCAUCAAUAGCUUAUUUUUUUUUGAGACGGAGUCUUGCUCUGUCACCCAGGCUGCAGUGCAGUGGUGUGGUCUCAGCUUACUGCAACCUCUGCCUCCUGGAUUCAAGCGAGUCUCAUGCCUCAGCCUCCAGCGUAGCUGGGAUUACAGGCACACGCCACCACACCAGGAUAAUUUUUUGUAUUUUUAGUAGAGACGGGGUUUCACCAUGUUGGCCAGGCUGGUCUCAAACUCCUCACCUCAAAUGAUCCGCCUGCCUUGGCCUCCCAAAGUGCUGGGAUUACAGGUGUGACAACACUCAGCCUAGCUUAUGUUAUUUUAAUGUAAAUUCUUGGUAAACAACUUGGGACCUGCCUCUUCUCCCCAGAGUCCUGGAUAACCCUCUCUGCCCUGUCUCCUUCCCACCUACCGCCCUGAAGGCUGCUUCCGCCUCUGCCCAGACUGCAGAUGCUCCCAGGCUGUGUCCUCUGCCCGCCUCUUCUCUCCAGCCCUCUCUCAUGGCAGUCCCACCUGACAACUCCCAUGGCCUCCUGGGUGUCCUGCAAAGGCUUUGUCACUGGUGUCACUCCUCCAGGCCUCAGAUAAUUCCAGAUACACAAGCGCUCUCCCAACAAGCCAUAUUCUCACCUCUGCAAAGCAUUUCCAAGCAUCUCCGUUUCCUCUGCAUAAGCGACACGGCCCAGCCACCCGAGCCCUCGUUGCCAUCCACCACUGGGCAUCAGCUUCCACUCCCGUCUUUCUCGUGUCCUCUGGUCCAGCCCCUGGUGAGCUCCAGCCAAGCACCGCCUACUGGGCCUCUGGUCUUUACCUGUUCUGUUCCCUCUGCCUGGAGUUUUUUUAAGUAGAAAAAUGCGAGAAUGUGGAGUGGGAAUGUAAAAUGGUGUGGCUGCUGCAGAAAACACUUUGGUGGUUCCUGAAAAAGUUUAGGCAUACACUUAGCAUGGGACUCAGCAUUUACCCCUUAAGCACACGCCCCAUGGAAACAAAACCUGUUCCCUCGGAAACGCGCACACAGACGCUCGUAGCUACGUCCUUCGUAACAGCUGGAAGGCGGAUGUUGGGAACAGGCCCCCCAAAAUCUGGCCAUAAACUGGCCCCAAAACUGGCCAUAAACAAAAUCUCUGCAGCACUGUAACAUGCUCAUGAUGGUCAUGACGCCCACGCUGGAAGGUUGUGGGUUUACCGGAAUGAGGGCAAGGAACGCCUGGCCCAUUCAGGGCGGAAAACCGCUUAAAGACAUUCUUAAUCCACAAACAAUAGCGUGAGCGAUCUGUGCCUUAAGGGCAUGCUCCUCCUGCAGGUAACCAGCCAAACCCAUCCCUUUAUUUCCAGCCCAUCCCUUUAUUUCCCAUAAAGAAUGCCUUUAAAUCUAUAAUCUAUAAAAACAAUGCUUAUCACUGGCUUGCUGUCAAUAAAUAUGUGGGUAAAUCUCUGUUCAAGGCUCUCAGCUCUGAAGGCUGUCAGCCCCGAUUUCCCACUCCACACCUCUGUAUUUCUGUGUGUGUGUGUGUCUUUAAUUCCUCUAGCGCCGCUGGGUUAGGGUCUCCCUGACCGAGCUGGUCUCGGCAGGCGGAGACGACCGGGUGUCCACCACAGGUGAAGGGAUUAACAAAUGGUGCCCGGUCCCUGGGGUGGGAUAUUAUGCAUCUGUGAACAGAAGUGAGACACUGAUACACUGAGGGGACUCAGGGGCCACCACUGGGAUGAGGCUUGGAAAUGUGGCUUCCACCGAAAGAAGUGAGACACAAACGUUCGCACACCGCGUGAUUCCUUUUAUAUGAAAUAUCCAAAACGGACAAAUCCAUAGAGACAGAAAGCAGAUCUGUGGUUUCCAGAGGAUGGGGAAGG
rnacentral:lncRNA from 1 species